rnacentral:rRNA from 1 species
AUGGCGACCGGCGCACAGGUGAGUAACACGUAUCCAACCUGCCGAUAACUCGGGGAUAGCCCUUCGAAAGAAAGAUUAAUACCCGAUGGUAUAAUAAAGCCGCAUGGUUUAAUUAUUAAAGAAUUUCAGUUAUCGAUGGGGAUGCGUUCCAUUAGGCAGUUGGUGAGGUAACGGCUCACCAAACCUUCGAUGGAUAGGGGUUCUGAGAGGAAGGUCCCCCACAUUGGAACUGAGACACGGUCCAA